CAAUAGCGUAUAUUAAAGUUGUUGCGGUUAAAAAGCUCGUAGUUGGAUUUCUGUUGGGAACGACCGGUCCGCCCAUUGGGUGUGUAUCUGGCUUGUUCUCGGCAUCUUCUUGGUGAACGUUGCUGCACUUGACUGUGUGGAGCGCUACCCAGGACUUUUACUUUGAGGAAAUUAGAGUGUUUCAAGCAGGCAUAUGCCUUGAAUACAUUAGCAUGGAAUAAUAAGAUAGGACCUCGGUUCUAUUUUGUUGGUUUCUAGAGCUGAGGUAAUGAUUAAUAGGGAUAGUUGGGGGCAUUCGUAUUUAACUGUCAGAGGUGAAAUUCUUUGAUUUGUUAAAGACGGACUACUGCGAAAGCAUUUGCCAAGGAUGUUUUCAUUGA
rnacentral:rRNA from 1 species